UACGGAGGGUGCAAGCGUUAAUCGGAAUUAUUGGGCGUAAAGAGCUCGUAGGCGGCUUGUCACGUCGGAUGUGAAAGCCCGGGGCUUAACUCCGGGUCUGCAUUCGAUACGGGCUGGCUAGAGUGUGGUAGGGGAGAUCGGAAUUCCUGGUGUAGCGGUGAAAUGCGCAGAUAUCAGGAGGAACACCGGUGGCGAAGGCGGAUCUCUGGGCCGAUACUGACGCUGAGGAGCGAAAGCGUGGGGAGCGAACAGG
rnacentral:rRNA from 1 species